GGUACUAUAGUGUAGUGGUCAUCACUCGGGAUUUUGAAGUGAAGUUGAUUAUCUUCCCGAAACCCAGGUUCGAACCCUGGUAGCACCU